ACCAAUGGCCUCCGCGCACACAGUAUCACAGCACCAUGAAUCACAAGAAAAACGCCGCCCUGUACUGAACCCAUCGAGCUAGAUGUUCGCGGCGGAUGCAAAGGAGGGCGAGCAGGCCUGCCAGAUGUCAGUGGUACUGUUGAAUGGAGUGAGGAUCAGGACACCAGCGGCUGUAUCUCUCUCUUUGAUCAUGUAUCCAAUCCGUGUAAGUAGCUAGCAACAACAGUAUUUUCAGAGGAAAAAAAGGCACUAUAUAUUAGGAAUAGUAAACCCUCAGUACGGCUAUGUACAUGCUAGCCUGAA